rnacentral:rRNA from 1 species
UACGGAGGGAGCUAGCGUUGUUCGGAAUCACUGGGCGUAAAGCGCACGUAGGCGGCUUUCUAAGUCGGGGGUGAAAUCCUGGAGCUCAACUCCAGAACUGCCUUCGAUACUGGAGAGCUUGAGUCCGGGAGAGGUGAGUGGAACUGCGAGUGUAGAGGUGAAAUUCGUAGAUAUUCGCAAGAACACCAGUGGCGAAGGCGGCUCACUGGCCCGGUACUGACGCUGAGGUGCGAAAGCGUGGGGAGCAAACAGG